rnacentral:pre_miRNA from 11 species
UUACCUGGCUUCUGAAAAUGAAGGACAGAAAGUGAAAGACCCCCCAGGGUGGGGAGACCCUCACUCAAGUCUCGGGAUAAGCCAACGCCCCAAUAAUUCAAGAGAGACC